UUUCCUAGCCUGUAUUAAGGAGUCCCAGCCACUUCCUGCACUCCAUGGCCUGUACUUCCUGGGUCCUGGUCUGGAUGCUGCUGCAGCUGAUGUGUGAGGGAACACAGAGCCUCCUGCAAUGCUGCAAACAGAGUAUUUGAUUUCAGCACAGUGAAAAAAGAAUGUGGCAGAAUUCCGGGAAAAACACAUGAACAAAAUAACACUGACAUCUAUUGGGAAUAGUACUGUAACCUGUGGUGAGCAAAGGGAUGAGGAGCGAGCAACCGUGUCCGAAGAGUGGCGAGCGAAGUGUUGGUACACGUCUGCACUAAUGGUGGUCACAUAACAUGAAAUAUUCAAGA